UAUGGAGGGAGCUAGCGUUGUUCGGAAUUACUGGGCGUAAAGCGCGCGUAGGCGGCUUUGUAAGUUAGAGGUGAAAGCCCGGGGCUCAACCCCCGGAAUUGCCUUUAAGACUGCAUCGCUUGAAUCCGGGAGAGGUGAGUGGAAUUCCGAGUGUAGAGGUGAAAUUCGUAGAUAUUCGGAAGAACGCCAGUGGCGAAGGCGGCUCACUGGACCGGCAUUGACGCUGAGGUGCGAAAGCGUGGGGAGCAAACAGG
rnacentral:rRNA from 1 species